rnacentral:snRNA from 1 species
AGCCGUGCACUGAAUACAAAGCGAACUAUUCUUUCGCCUUUUACUAAAGAAUACCGUGUUUUCAUUGUAUUAAACGGCAUAAGUUAAUUUUUGAAAGAGAAUUCUUUUGAAAUUUCU